rnacentral:snoRNA from 1 species
UGAUGAUGAUGAGGACAACUUCUAACCAUGUCCUUGAAUAUCUCCCAAGUUUGGUAGAGAUUUUCUCCAUCUUUUUAUUUGAAAAUUAAUAUCUCACUCCUUAAUCG